GAAGGUGCAUCUAGAAAGACAGAUUAGAGCUUGAUAAGUAAAGCAUUUCAUUUACAUUGAAAAGUAUAUUGUGUAAUUCAAUUUAAUUUGAUAGUAAAAAUUUAUUAAUUUUUUUUUGUUUAAAUAUUUAUUUAAUAAAAUUAAUUUUAAAUUAAUUUUUUUUUUGUAUAGUGUAUAGAUUAAAUAAUUUAUAUAAUAGUUAAUUAGUAUUGUGAAAGAAUAUUGAAAUAUAUGAAAAAGUUUUAAAUUAAAAGUAAAUUUUAUAUAUUGUACCUUGUGUAUCAGGGUUUAUUAAUUAGAAAUUAAAAAUUUAAUUUUUCUCGAAUUUAAGAGAGUUAAUUUAUUAUUUGAUUUUUUGUUUCAUAAAAAUUUAAAAUAAUAAGUUGGAAAUGAAAUGUUAUUCGUUCUUAAAUAUAUCUAGUUUUUUAAGAAAUAAAUUAAAUUUAGAUUAUUAAUAAAUAAUUAUUUAUUUAAAUAAUAAAUUAUUAUUAAUAAUUAAUAUUUUAAGGGAUAAGCUUUAAAAUAAGUUUUAUAAUAAUUUUUUAAUUUGAAAGUUAUAGGUUUAGAAAUAGUCAUUAAUUAUAAAAAUGUUAUAAUUUAUUUUAAAUUAAAAAUAAUUUUUAUUAAUUUAAGUUUUUAUUAAAAUAAUUUUUAAAAUUAUAUAAAAAUUGAAAUAAUGAUAAAAUUAGUAUAUUAAAUUGUUUAAAAUAAAUAAAUUAAAAGGUUAAAUUAAGGAACUUGGCAAAUAAGUACUCGCCUGUUUAACAAAAACAUGUCUUUUUGAAUAUAAUUUAAAGUCUAAUCUGCCCACUGAAAAAUUUUAAAGGGCCGCGGUAUU
rnacentral:rRNA from 1 species